GGGAAGUCUACUGGCAGUUCGACGGACUAAACAGAAGCAGGAAGAUGCUUGCUUUGACUAACGGAAGUGUAAGUUAGUGGCGGACGGGUGAGUAACGCGUGGGCAACCUGCCCCAUACCGGGGGAUAACACCUGGAAAUAGGUGCUAAUACCGCAUAAGCGCACAGGACCGCAUGGUCCGGUGUGAAAAACUGAGGUGGUGUAAGAUGGCUCCGCGUCUGAUUAGCUUGUUGGUAGGGUAACGGCCUACCAAGGCGACGAUCAGUAGCCGGACUGAGAGGUUGAUCGGCCACAUUGGGACUGAGACACGGCCCAGACUCCUACGGGAGGCAGCAGUGGGGGAUAUUGCACAAUGGAGGAAACUCUGAUGCAGCGACGCCGCGUGAGGGAAGACGGUCUUCGGAUUGUAAACCUCUGUCUUUGGGGAAGAAAACGACGGUACCCAAAGAGGAAGCUCCGGCUAACUACGUGCCAGCAGCCGCGGUAAUACGUAGGGAGCGAGCGUUGUCCGGAAUUACUGGGUGUACAGGGAGCGUAGGCGGGCGAGAAAGUUGAAUGUUAAAUCUACCGGCUUAACUGGUAGCUCCGUUCAAAACUUCUUGUCUUGAGUGAAGUAGAGGCAGGCGGAAUUCCUAGUGUAGCGGUGAAAUGCGUANAUAUUAGGAGGAACACCAGUGGCGAAGGCGGCCUGCUGGGCUUUAACUGACGCUGAGGCUCGAAAGCGUGGGGAGCAAACAGGAUUAGAUACCCU
rnacentral:rRNA from 1 species